AGUUCUACUUGGGUAUACCAACUUAAUGAAAGUCUUGCUGUGAUUUCAGCUCAGUAGCUAAACCCUAACUGCCACAUCGUCGAUGUCAAACCAGGUCCUAGCCUAAUCCCAUCCUCAUGUUGCGCAGGUGAAAUUUCCCUAAAUGUAUUAAUGAUAAAGUUCAGCCAACAAUCACGAUGGGCCAAGAAGUAUAACAAUAACUCUGUUUGCCUGGGUCUUCUUCGGUUAUGUAGCUAACAAACCCGUCAUCAGCAACUUGAUUGAGUGACGUAGCUAACGACGUUAGCUAGGUAACUAAAAAUCAUUCCGUUUUGUUCUGCAGUCUGGUCAUUGAGGCAUUCCCUAGCCUAGUCACUGCACAACCAUAGGUUUACAAUUAAAACGAGAAACCAGUUCCACACACAAUACACAUUGGCCAGAACUUCCGAAAACGUCUGCCUCUGACAGUACCCACACAGUUCGCAGGUGAGAAACCUUCCUUUCUGAUCGCAUUUACUAACUAGAAUAACCACAUUCAAAGGCUACAGUUGUCAUGUUUUCUGUAGUAUAUACAGAGUAGGCCUACAAGUGGAACUACAUGUAACUGCCAAAAUAAAGGAAACACUUGCGUACAUUUUGGAUGCAAAGUAUAUUGAAAGCAGGUGCUUCCACACAGGUGUGGUUCCGGAGUUCUUCGUGUGAAUUUCUGGCAGACUAGACGCUGUGUUGCAUAUUUCUGCCUUUCUCACGUCUGAGUGCAGAUUGCACAUUUUGGUCCCCCCCCAAAAAAGUGGGAGGGGAAACUCUUAAAUUGCACCACCAUCUAACCCCUUUUCUCAAAACUCCUUGUAGAUCUUCUGCACUACAAUCUCUCACCCAAAUAUUUUUCUGCCGAUGCGACUACCACAUCUAUGUUCUGUGAUUUGCAGUCCAUCAGUGCAGUGCAGUUGAUCACCUUUGCUAUAAUCACAAGAUAUCCAACCUUACUGAAAAACUCAUCCUCUCUGGGUCUUUCUUCAGACCUACUCACUGGGGAACUCCCAGUUGAUUAUCUCACCUUUGGGCUGUCCUCUAGUCUCUUCACUGCCUCAUAGGAAAUUUUCUGCCCCACUCAACCGGUCUCUCUCUCACAGGGCACUUCGGAUCUCCAACUGCAUGGGCGCCCCCGCAGUUGACACAGUGCUUUUUGUAACCCAACUUUACACUCCCGUUGACUAUGCCCUUCUGCACAUUUCUCACAUUGUGGGAUCUCCUUUCUACACACUGCUGCAACAUGUCUGAAUCCUUGACACCUAAAGCACCGUAGCGUGUUUGGAACAUAGGCCCUCACAGAAUAGCAAAUAUAACCUAACCUUCUCAGGUAGAAACUCUGUUAAAGUUCAACAAGACAGACAGGAUAUUCUCAGUUGCAUUGCCACUGGGUCUACAUCUUACCAAAAGGUGGGUGUCACAAACACCAGGGAUAUUCUUUUUCAUUUGAUCCACCUCAACGCUACCCACCAGUCACCCUUUUGAGCACGACACAGGUUGAGCCACGAGAUGUGUGAUGCACUGCGCCCGCUGCCUCUGGGCAGAGGAUACAGAACAAAUCUCAACAAUUCCACUUCUCUAAACUUUCAAAGAUGUAACCGCUCGCAGCUUGUCCUUUACCGUGCCUGAAUCAAUGUACGGUUUGGCCAAAAAGCAGGAAUCCCCUUUUUCCUUAAAUCUCACUCCAACCGGUCCAAAAUCAUUUGUGACAGGACUCCCAUGGCAAACACUGGAAGUGUCUACCACACCUGUAGCUGCAGGUACUUCAUCCUGGUCUGGCUUGACUUCAGAGCACUCACUACUGCUGACUGAUGUUCUCAAGAGCACAAGUAGAUUUAUAGGUAAUUUUACUUGGUUUGUAUUCAGGAGAAGAAAAUGAUUGGACAAAGGUUUGUACUCAGGAGACGUAGGUAUGUACUUGCCUUUUUUAUGCUUUUGUGUCCGCACCCUGGUUCCCGAGUUAAUUAAGAAAUUAACAUCCCAUCAUGCUUAGGGUCAUGUAUAACAAUGCCCAGUUACCCAUCAUUUUGGUUACCAUGGCUAGAAGAAGAGAUCUCAGUGCCUUUGAAAGAAGGGUCUCAAUGUUGCAUAGUGGGAUAAAAGGGUGUGUGUGUGUCUGUCACCAGAUCUCAACCAAAUUGAACAGUUUCUGGAGCGGCGCCUGAGAAAGCGUUUUCUACCACCACCAUCAACAAAACACCAAAUGAGGGAAUUUCUCGUGGAAGAAUGGUGUCACAUGCCUCCAAUAGAAUUCCAGACACUUGUCGAGGCCUGUGGUGGCCCAACUCCCUAUUAAGACACUUUAUGUUGAUGUUUCCUUUAUUUUGGCAGUUACCUGUAGCUAUAUGCUCAAAUGAUUGUGGUUACAGUUGUAUUGAUAGCAAUAUAGAUUUAUUGAUGUAUAAUGUUUUGAGAGUCUGGGAUAACAAAUGAUGGGAAUAGGAUCGGUUGACUAUCUCUUAUUUUAAAUGUAUUUAUUCUAUGCUGUGUAAUACCAGGUUGUUUUUUUACUGUAGGGAUUACUGUUGUUUUCUGGUUUUGUCUAUAUUGUGUUUAUUCCAUCGGGAUCACGUUGGAAACAAGUGGAAUUGCUUUAAUGUGUUAUUCCCUGGGUUGUACUCAGUGCAUCUUUCCCAUAUUGGAAAUAUGAACAAUGAGCAGUAACCAUGACAAAACCAGACAGUGUGAAUAAACUUGUUCUCUAAACAUCA